UUGAGGUUUGUAGCCCUAGGUUUGUUCAAUGACUAUGUCUGUCUCUCUCUCAACUCUCUCUCUCUCUCUCUCUCACACACACACACUUGAACGGAGGAGACGAGAAACAAUCGGCGUCGGUGACAAUGGUGGCUAUCGACGAUCGGCGAUCGGCGACAGUGGUGGUGGCGAGCAGCGAUCGAAGCGUCGAUUCGAAGUAAUUAGGGCUUCAGCUUCUUCCCUUCUCUUCUCUUCUCUUCUUGUCUUUGUAGAGAUUUGCUUAUUUUUUCAGGGCUUCGACUGUGUUCUGAUAGGGCUUCAACUGUGUUCUGCUAAUUACUUAGGGCUUUCACUGUGUCAAAUUAAUCAUGUUUCAGGUUGCCUUGUUUCUGAGUAUUUAAUCAUGUUUAAGGUUGCCUUAUUUCUGAGUAUUAAAUUAAUCAUGUGUUAAAUUAAGUUACAGAUAUGCUUAUUUCUUGUGUCUGAGUAUUUGAUCAAUGACAGCCCAAAUUGAUGACCUAGACUCCAUGGUUAAGAUUGCCUUGUGAGCAACCUUUUAUGUCUCUCAGUUCAUCACAUGUUGAAAUUGUGUGCAUUAAUGUGUUAUACCUUGAAUGGAACUUAAUUUUGUUUGUUAAGGGUUUGUUAGUUUAUUUGUUUGUUUUGGAAAAAGAUAAGAACUUUAUUGAAAUAUAUAAGAAGUAUGCAGAGCAGUGGCUUUCUUCUCUUCCAUAUCGCUGAAGCAUACUGAUUGGUUACUGUACUAGUUCUGAGGCAAAUAUUUGAAUAGAGUAUGUUAUGAUAUAGAUUAAAUAUUUAGAAGGGGAAGAAAAAUAGUUAAAAUUUACCGACAAAAAAAAGAAAAGAGAAAAGGAAAUUAAAACAAAGAAAGGUGCCUUCUUUCUCUGCAAUCUGGCAAAAUUGUGGGUAAUGCUGUUAAUUGCUCCUUGGAGUACUAAUGACGGGGAAGAAGACAUGUAUCUUGAAGUUUUCAGCUCAUUAUGUUAGGUUCUUCAGGUUGUCAGGGUUAGGCUUGUGUCAAACCGUGACGUGAUCAGGCUGCUUUACAUGUAAAAUGCAGAUUCUUUAUUGUAAAUACUGCUUCUGUGAAUAUGUGAAGCAUGUUUGUGCUUCUUACUUCUAGCUGCUGUAAAUAAUUCUCUGCUUCUCUCAAGUUAUGAAAUCAAAGGCCAACCAGUUUAUUUCGUG